rnacentral:tRNA from 1 species
GCCAGGGUGAUGAAAUGGCAAACAUGAUGGUCUCAAAAACCAUUGUCCGUAAGGGCUUGAGGGUUCGACUCCCUCCUCUGGCACCA